GACAGAGGAUGCAAGUGUUAUCCGGAAUCACUGGGCGUAAAGCGUCUGUAGGUUGUUUAAAAAGUCUGCAGUUAAAGGUUGAAGCUUAACUUCAAAAAUGCCGUAGAAACUUUUAAACUAAGAGGAUGGUAGGGGUAGAGGGAAUUUCCAGUGGAGCGGUGAAAUGUGUAGAUAUUGGAAAGACCACCGAUGGCGAAGGCACUCUACUGGGCCAUGACUGACACUGAGAGACGAAAGCUAGGGGAGCAAAUGGG
rnacentral:rRNA from 1 species